rnacentral:lncRNA from 1 species
CAGUAUGUCUAAUAAUGUCUGUAUUUCUGUCUUGUCUCUCCAGAAUAAGUGGUGUCUUGUUGGUUGUAAACUCGUCCAGCUGAAGCAGAGCUCUGGGACGUGUGGACAGACAUUGACUGUAAUGAUGGACAUCUGCUCAGGGACAGUCUGUGCAAAGGUAUAACCACUGCGGGUCACGGUGCUGGAAGCUCCAGGGGGAGACCGUACUGAUAUCCCCCUUCUUCAGGCACGCCUUCACACACUCCACCAUUCACUCAUAUCGCA